UGCAAGGACAGGGAUAGUGCUGCCCCCGAAAACCAAAAGGCUCAGGUUUGGUAGAGCAGGGAAGGUGCAUAAAGCAGCACUCCUGACACCUAGCCCAGGGCAUUCCCUGCCUGGGCAGGACACUUGGCUCUCUUUCUGUCAUUCCACAGCCAGCAGGAAAAGUGGAUCAUGGGUAUGGACCGGAGCCAAGAGAUUGAGGUGCAGGCAGAGAAUUUCCGAGAGCCACGAGCUGAUGCAAGUCCUCAUGGGAACAUGUGAGAUAACCAAGUAGCAAAAGGCACUGGCAGAGUCCAGGCGAGAGCAGUGCAGCCACAGCCAGGGCAGCAUGGCAGGGCUCCACGUCCGCUCCCUUCUGGUGACUGGGGCCAACCGAGGCAUCGGCCUGGGGCUCGUCCAGCAUUUCCUGAGGAUGCCAAGCCCACCUCAGUGGAUCUUUGCAGGCUGUCGGGACCCCAAGGGACAGCGAGCACAGGAGUUACAGAAUUUGGCCUACA